rnacentral:rRNA from 1 species
GAUGAACGCUGGCGGCGUGCCUAAUACAUGCAAGUCGAGCGAAUGGAUUGAGAGCUUGCUCUUAUGAAGUUAGCGGCGGACGGGUGAGUAACACGUGGGUAACCUGCCCAUAAGACUGGGAUAACUCCGGGAAACCGGGGCUAAUACCGGAUAAUAUUUUGAACUGCAUGGUUCAAAAUUGAAAGGCGGCUUCGGCUGUCACUUAUGGAUGGACCCGGGUCGCAUUAGCUAGUUGGUGAGGUAACGGCUCACCAAGGCAACGAUGCGUAGCCGACCUGAGAGGGUGAUCGGCCACACUGGGACUGAGACACGGCCCAGACUCCUACGGGAGGCAGCAGUAGGGAAUCUUCCGCAAUGGACGAAAGUCUGACGGAGCAACGCCGCGUGAGUGAUGAAGGCUUUCGGGUCGUAAAACUCUGUUGUUAGGGAAGAACAAGUGCUAGUUGAAUAAGCUGGCACCUUGACGGUACCUAACCAGAAAGCCACGGCUAACUACGUGCCAGCAGCCGCUGUAA